AGUGAAUAGAUACCCGGGUAGUCCACGCCGUAAACGAUGGAUGCUAGCUGUACGGAGUAUCGACCCUCUGUGUAGCAAAAAAGCUAACGCGUUAAGCAUCCCGCCUGUGGAGUACGAGCGCAAGCUUAAAACAUAAAGGAAUUGACGGGGACCCGCACAAGCGGUGGAGCGUGUUGUUUAAUUCGAGGAUAAGCGAAGAACCUUACCCAGGUUUGACAUCCUACUAAGGUUUCCGAAAGGAAACUGUGCCUUCGGGCCGUAGUGACAGGUGAUGCAUGGCCGUCGUCAGCUCGUGUCGUGAGAUGUUUGGUUAAGUCCAUCAACGAGCGCAACCCUUAUAGUUAGUUGGAUUUUUCUAGCUAGACUGCUCCGGAAACGGGGUAGGAAGGAGGGGAUGAGUCAGGUCCGUAUUUCCCUUACAUCUGGGGCUACAAACACGCUACAAUGGCCGGUACAAAGGGCUGCCAACCCGGCAAGGGGGUAGCGAAACUCCCAUCAAAGCCGGUUCUCAGUUCGGAUUGUAGGUCUGAAACUCGCCUGCAUGAAGCUGGAAUCGCUAGUAAC
rnacentral:rRNA from 1 species